GUCUGGCUGGCUCAGUUGGUGGGGUGUGUGACUCUUAAUCUUGGGAUGUGAGUUCGAACCCCACGCUAAGUG
rnacentral:tRNA from 1 species